rnacentral:rRNA from 1 species
CCUACGGGAGGCUGCAGUGAGGAAUAUUGGUCAAUGGCCGGAAGGCUGAACCAGCCAUGCCGCGUGAAGGUCAGUGCCCUAUGGGCGUUAAACUUCUUUUGUGCGGGAGCAAUAAUGGUCACGUGUGGCCAGACGAGAGUACCGUACGAAUAAGCAUCGGCUAACCCCGUUCCAGCAGCCGCGGUAAUACGGGGGAUGCAAGCGUUAUCCGGAUUUAUUGGGUUUAAAGGGUGCGUAGGCUGUGAGGUAAGUCAGCGGUGAAAUGCCCCGGCUCAAUGGGGUGAAGUGCCAUUGAUACUGCCUGGCUGGAAUGCGAAUGACGUGGGAGGAAGGUGUGGUGUAGCGGUGAAAUGCAUAGAUAUCACACAGAACACCGAUUGCGAAGGCAUCUCACGAAUCCGCGAUUGACGCUGAUGCACGAAAGCGUGGGUAUCAAACAGGAUUAGAUACCCCUGUAGUC